UCACAUUUAACCAUCGUAAUUGAUCAAGUUGUAAUCGUCAAUUAAGAUCUUUAUACCCCUAUAUAUAUGAGUGUUUCUAAGUUUGGAAUAUACCAUUACUACAAGAAGCUCUCUCGUUCUCUCUACCUCUUUGAGCUCUCUCUCUUUCUUCCUCUUUUUCAUAUAUUCACAAUACGUUAUCAGCACGAGCAUAAAGAAAUUUCCACCUCCCAACUUCAAUUUCUCUCUUAUCUCUCUCCCCGGGUUUUCUAGUAAGAGAUUUGAGAAGCAGCUCGAAACAUUUGAUGUUUUUAAUUCUGUAGUGUUUGAAUUGCUUUCUGGGUUUAUUUCCCAGAUUGUUUUCAUUUUUCAUUUUCCCAUUUUUCUUUCUUCGAAUAAUCUCUCUCCAUUUCUAAACCUUUACUCGGUUAGUACUACUCAAGGCUCAAAACCAGCUCGCCUUUAGUACGUAGCACAAAUCCAACUUUAGUAGCCCAAACCUCCCACCGGGCAAGACCGGUUACCCCAUGAUCGGCGAGAGCCUCGAGUUCUUGUCCUCCGGAUGGAAAGAUCAUUCGGAAAAAUUCAUCUUCGACCGCAUGGCUAUUGUUCUCGUCCAAAGUUUUCAAAACCUCUCUGAGCUAAUAUUGACCGCUCGGCGUGGUGAUCUGGCUGCCAUGAAGCAGAUCCACAACGGAUCCGCAAAAAAACCAGCUGCUGAUUAUAGGUGGUGGCCAUAGCCACCAGAAAGUCGGCGGUGAAGGUGGAACUCUCGGAGUCGGACCACCUGGUGCCGAUUUAGUGUGGACCCCGUAAGGGCCGGGAGAGAGGAUCGGACGGUGGAGGUUGAGCAGUCUACGAGGAGAGAUCAGGCCGGCCUCAUAACACCCAUCGACGCCACAUCGUCGUUCCGUAAGCAGCUCCUAUACCUGAAAAAUUGCAAGCACCAUGACCCUGGACGAGAAGAACCCACGUCGGAUUUUCGAGGGUGAAGCUCUUCUCAGGAGGAUGAACAGUUCCCAAUUUUCUUCACGAAGCUGCUGGGAUAUUUUGAAGAGAACCUGUGCGGGAGCGGGAAUUUAAGGAAGAAGACCCAGGCAAGUCUCUAUUUUCAUUGGCUCACCAACAAAGGAUUUCAGGUCUCGAGUGAUGGCUGUGAAAGGUAAAGUCAAAAAUGGCUUCAGGUUUAGCUUGGUUAGGUGGUGGCCUUUGUCAACACCGACAAAGCACGCCUUCUGGAGCAAGUGUCUGUGCGCGAGAAAGAUGGAAGCAGGGCAGAGGGACUCUGGGGUCUUGCCUUACUAGCACGAUAGGAAUUGUGAGGUUGGAAUUUGGAAGGCCCCGAAAUGCCUUAAUUGGAGGCUAUGUAUCAUAGACGAAGUG